rnacentral:rRNA from 1 species
UACGAAGGGUGCAAGCGUUGUUCGGCAUUAUUGGGCGUAAAGAGUGAUAAGGCGGAUCUUCAAGUCGGUUGUGAAAUCUCGGGGCUUAACCCCGAAAGUGCGGCCGAAACUAGAGAUCUGGAGUGAUGUAGGGGAGAGGGGAAUUUCACGUGUAGGGGUAAAAUCCGUAGAGAUGUGAAGGAACACCUGAGGCGAAGGCGCCUCUCUGGGCAUUUACUGACGCUGAUUCACGAAAGCGUGGGGAGCAAACAGG